rnacentral:rRNA from 1 species
AACUUGCCAGAGAUGGCUUGGUGCCCGAAAGGGAAUCGGAACACAGGUGCUGCAUGGCUGUCGUCAGCUCGUGUCGUGAGAUGUUGGGUUAAGUCCCGCAACGAGCGCAACCCUUAUCAUUAGUUGCUACGCAAGGGCACUCUAAUGAGACUGCCGGUGACAAACCGGAGGAAGGUGGGGAUGACGUCAAGUCCUCAUGGCCCUUAUGGGUAGGGCUUCACACGUCAUACAAUGGUCGGUACAGAGGGUUGCCAAGCCGCGAGGCGGAGCCAAUCCCACAAAGCCGAUCGUAGUCCGGAUUGUUCUCUGCAACUCGAGAGCAUGAAGUCGGAAUCGCUAGUAAUCGCAGGUCAGCAUACUGCGGUGAAUACGUUCCCGGGUCUU